CUUGUUCGUUGAGGCUAGUACAAGAACAAAACAAGAGAUGUAACAAGUUAGAAAGAUAUCGAUUCCCCCUGAAUGGCCAGGAAAUUCCAUUGCCAGCGGCGUGAGGCAGUGGACAGCUCCACCUGGAGGGGAAAUUCACCCAGCUAGGGUGGCGCUAGUAUGUGAAACCGCAUUGCCGCAUUGCCGCGUCAAGUAUUCUGGUGUUUAUCAAUGUGAGCAAAGUCAUUCGUACCGCCCCAUCUAGGCUGGGCGAAUCUAGAUACUUGACGUCAAACGUGCAAUUCGUGUUGGAUCUGCUGACUCGAAGUUCACGGCCGCAUGUGGGAAUCAUGGUUCGGAUCAGCCGUCAGUCCUGCGAGGUGCGCAUCAUCGAUCAGAUAUGCAGACUGGACACGAGACACCGGCAUGGUAAGACAAUGGUAUCAGUAUGCCUGCCACCUCGGGCACAAGCUGAACUGUAUGCUGCGUAGCUUUCAAAUAAGCCUUUCAACUAAAACUCUUCCAACUUAAUCUAGAAAUGGCAAGUUACGUGGAGGUUAGCCACAGCGCUGCUGUUGCAAAGUCAGAGGCCAUGGAACAUGCCCGCAGUUUUAGUAGGGACAAUCCCCACCUGCGUACAGCACUUCCCGUUUACCAUGAGAGCGAUAGAAGACUGCGGCCGGCCGGAAGGCCAGAGAAAUUACACGUUACCAGUAUGAGCACUUCAAGAAGCGACAGGGAGGUUGCCCAACUUGACCGCCGUGCUGCUCAGUCUUACAGUGGCCGGGUUCAAACGUUCAUCACUGACAGCGGAACGCCAAGAGUCCAUGACACGACCUGGAAGGCAAGACACGAUAGGAAUUUAGCUGGCAUUGUGCACCAACCAGACAUCCACGCCUACUCAGUGGGACCCCACGGGCCUUGCGAUUAUCAGCUCAAACAUUUUGCCAAGGAAGCAGGCCACCAUGGUCAUAGCCAGAAGAAGAGGCAUUAGAUGCAUUUACCUGCACUUGCCCUGGCAACAGUACCCCAUCCAAUGUUGACAAGUACACCUUCAAUAUGAGCAAUAAUCUCCAAUUAAGUUUGGCUGACAUCCUAUCACUCAUUCUCUUGCUGCCUUGUCAUGUCACUAUCCAUGAAUGUUCAUAUCUCCUCCGGUGGCGUUAUUCACAGCUCCAGUCACCAGUCGUUUCUGAUUUUGCAGACAUUUCAAUGCAUUCUACUCCAGUUUUGCUUGGUGCUCACUGUUGCGGAAAUUGCCUCUCGUUUCGUCUACGUUUUUCGACAUUAAUGUACUUUCGUACUGAAAUGGACUUUUGAGUUAAAAUUCACCAGCACUCCUGUGUAUUUAUGUAGCUUUUUCCUGCCAUCAUACUUCUAUACACUUAUUGCAAAGAUGAAUUCAUUCAAGACGAGGUGUUUGCUGAUA